rnacentral:lncRNA from 1 species
UGUUGUUGUUGUUUGUUGUUAUGUUAUCCACUGCCAUAAGAGGCAGCAGAACUAAAUUUUAUUGUGUGUAUGUGUGUACGUACAUCCAUAUGUAUGUAUGUGGCAUAGGGUUGUCGGCAGUCAGUUAUGGUUGCUGCACCUGUGCUCUUGGCUGGUUGUCUUCGCGCAUGCGUAGGAAUGCAAUGACGGAAAUAUGGCUAUGGCAAUAGCAAUAACAACAAAAACAACAAUGAGAACAAAUAGAAAGUAUAGCGAUAACGAGUUGUUGAGCGACUUUGGUUCAAAAUUAAAAAUGCAAAUUCACUGAGGGAGGGAUGUUUUUCGCCUCCUAACGAAGUUCGACUUUGUCUUCAUUACAGGUAAGCUUGUCACACUCAUUAGAUAUUUGACAGCUUCACUAUUUUAGUGCCAGCUUACAGCCAUAGUAGGAGCCACUAUCUUUGGGGGUUAUCAGCUGAUCUAAACGAGAAAAAAAUCCGGGUCAACACCUACGCGUAGAACUAGCUGUCGUGAGACUUUAAGAACUGCAUUCAGCACCGCUUAAAACAACCGCUGAACAGGGCGACAUACUUAAAGGCAUUCACCAAGAGUCCGUCAACACCUUCCUGAAUUCUCUUCCAUUGAAUGGCGUUCUCAGACUCUCAGGGUCAGGCCACCACCUAUUACAGACGUAGAUCUCUAGCUGCCUCUCGAAUUCCGCGUAAUACUGGCGCAACUUAGAUCUGUAUAUUGUAGUAGAUUAAAUUGCUACAUAAUCAAACUUGAUCCCGACAUACCCAACGUAUGUAUGCAUGUCCUGCAUGAAAUGAGUCCCCGUAAGACAUUAAUCAACUCAUUUAACCUCUCUUUCCCCGGGUCCGAACCCGUCAAAGCAGCUCGUUUCCUGAAUCUACCGUUAGAUGCCCGCAAUGACUUAGACAGAUCCAGUGUGCUCUUAAGCUGGGCUAGCGAACCAUUACAACAAUAACAACAACCUUUGGUAGUACACGGUCUUCAACUGAUUAAGACGUCAAAUAUUUCACGUUGCUACGAACUCCAAUCUUAUCGCAAUGGGUGCUAGGUGGAAACUGUUCGCAAAAGCAUAAUUGGGAUAAGCAGUGCUGGCCUAAGAGCGGCCUGCUAGAGGAUCUCAGUCUGGAGCCCCCGCACUUGUUUCUGAGCCUCGAAAAUUAUUCCGUUUCGCACAACCUCAACCGACAACAGGUAAACGCAGACUGACUUUGAGCUCUUUGUGUUGUGUCUCUUCUCAGUACAUCCGACGUCCAAAGCACCACUACCACGAGCACUAUAAGCACCAACAUGAAGAGCACUAGCACUGACGUUGUGGACAUACACGCGAUGUAGGAAUCAACGUCGUCUCAUUGUCAACGCUCGUGGCUUUGAGUAGCCGGCUUUAUGAUCAGUACUUUGGAUGUUUGCACUCCAAAACGGGUAAGAAAAGAAACCGGCUAAUACCUACCGCUAUGGUGUUCCCAGACGUGUUGUGAAGUUUUGUGCAUUGGUGAUGUUGGAAUUUGGCAGUAAAGUAAUCGGUUUUUAAUAUAUAACAAACCUGUACGGCACUCUGCGGUGAUACAUAUAGUUUUAAAACUGAUGCCAGACUUAAUUAAUUAAUUUUCGGAGGGCUAACAAUAAACUCAUCUCCUUACAGUGGUCCCUACUCUUCCAAAUAAUUUCAUGAAAAAUAACAAAACUAUGCAGUCAAUAAAGGAAUGAAAAAACUACUCCACCUGUUGUAGUCGAAGUACAAUCAACGUUACACAUUGGCCUCUGAAAGAAUUCUCGCAAGAGCGAAGAAGUCAAUCGAAACCCUGUGUGUGUUUCGUUACUGCUGUAAAUGUAUGCUUUCAAUUGAAGUCGAUCUCUUGGAAAUUUUCAUGAAUCCUGAAUAGAAUCUCGCAAUCAGAACUUGAAAUAUUGCUGAUGCGAUACUCAUUAGAGACAGUAAUCACAAAUACCGGUCAGUCGUGUGACACAUCACUGUUACUGACACAAUUAAAAUCUUAAUUGACCUUGACUUACUUCCUA